rnacentral:rRNA from 1 species
AUGUACUCUGAUAACUACUUUGUGAAACUACCUAGGAGGGUCAGUGGAUAUUCUGGUUUGGAUUGGGUGCAGGAGACACUAGCCCGAGAUACCCAAUGCUAUAACAUGUUUAGGGUUGAGAGACCUUUGUUUAAUAGGCUACAUAAUACUUUGGUGCAAUCAUAUGGCUUGAAGUCCACUACAAAAAUGACAUCUGUAGAGGCUCUAGCUAUGUUUUUAUGGAUUGUUGGAUCACCACAGUCAGUUAGACAGGCUGAGAACCGUUUCAGAAGGUCUAUGGAGACAGUAAGUAGGACAUUUAAUAGAGUUUUGGCAUGCCUCCUCAGGUUAGCACAUGACAUAAUUGCACCUAAGGAUCCAACAUUUUCAGAGGUGCACCCAAACUUAGAAAAUCCAGUAUUCUGGCCACACUUCUAUGACUGCAUAGGAGCUAUAGAUGGGACACAUGUGAAUGUUGUGGUGGAUAAGAGUAAGAGGGUUCCAUACUUGAACAGGCACAAUGAAACCAGUCAGAAUGUGCUUGCUGUUUGUGAUUUCGACAUGAGAUUUACAUUUGUGAUGUCGGGAUGGCCUGGUUCAGCACAUGACAUGAGAGUUUUCAAAGAUGCCGUAACUACUCAUCAAGACAAAUUUCCACAUCCACCACCAAGGAAGUAUUAUGUGGUUGAUGCGGGAUACCCAAACCGGCCAGGCUACCUUUCACCAUACAGAUGUACAAGGUACCAUGUGCAACAAUGGCAAAAUGGCCCGCCGCCACAAGGUAUGAAAGAAACCUUCAACCAUGCACAUGCCAAAGUUAGGAAUGUCGUUGAGCGAUCAUUUGGAGUGUUGAAGAUGAAAUUUAGGAUUUUAUUGAACAUGCCAAAAUUUCCAGAGGACAAGCAAAGUAGAAUUAUUGUUGCCUAUAUGGCUCUUCAUAAUUUCAUUCGAGAGAGCAGAAUUGCGGAUAGGGAAUUUGAUGCUUGUGAUGCAGAUGAAAAUUAUAACCCAAUGCCUAGUUCUUCUGCAUCCGCAUGGCCAGAAGACGAACCUCUUGUUGAAGAUAUCAACAUGAAUGCCUUCCGUGAUGAGUUAGCUCAUGCUUUAUUUUAUGGAGUGUAA